rnacentral:rRNA from 1 species
UACGUAGGGACCAAGCGUUGUUCGGAUUUACUGGGCGUAAAGGGCGCGUAGGCGGCGCGGUAAGUCACUUGUGAAAUCUCUGAGCUUAACUCAGAACGGCCAAGUGAUACUGCAGUGCUAGAGUGUGGAAGGGGCAAUCGGAAUUCUUGGUGUAGCGGUGAAAUGCGUAGAUAUCAAGAGGAACACCUGAGGUGAAGACGGCUUUCUGGACCAUAGCUGACGCUGAGACACGAAAGCGUGGGUAGCAAACAGG